UAUCAAUAAGCGGAGGAAAAGAAACCAACAGGGAUUGCCCCAGUAACGGCGAGUGAAGCGGCAACAGCUCAAAUUUGAAAUCUGGCCCCUCUCGGGGUCCGAGUUGUAAUUUGUAGAGGAUGCUUUUGGCGAGGCGCCGCCCGAGUUCCCUGGAACGGGACGCCACAGAGGGUGAGAGCCCCGUCUGGCUGGCCGCCGAGCCUCUGUAAAGCUCCUUCGACGAGUCGAGUAGUUUGGGAAUGCUGCUCAAAAUGGGAGGUAUAUGUCUUCUAAAGCUAAAUACUGGCCAGAGACCGAUAGCGCACAAGUAGAGUGAUCGAAAGAUGAAAAGCACCUUGAAAAGAGGGUUAAAUAGUACGUGAAAUUGUUGAAAGGGAAGCGCUUGUGACCAGACUUGGGCGCGGCGGAUCAUCCGGGGUUCUCCCCGGUGCACUUCGCCGCGUCCAGGCCAGCAUCAGUUCGUCGCGGGGGAUAAAGGCUUCGGGAACGUGGCUCCUCCGGGAGUGUUAUAGCCCGCUGCGCAAUACCCUGCGGUGGACUGAGGACCGCGCAUCUGCAAGGAUGCUGGCGUAAUGGUCACCAGCGACCCGUCUUGAAACACGGACCAAGGAGUCGUCUUCGUAUGCGAGUGUUCGGGUGUCAAACCCCUACGCGUAAUGAAAGUGAACGCAGGUGAGAGCUUCGGCGCAUCAUCGACCGAUCCUGAUGUUCUCGGAUGGAUUUGAGUAAGAGCAUACGGGGCCGGACCCGAAAGAAGGUGAACUAUGCCUGUAUAGGGUGAAGCCAGAGGAAACUCUGGUGGAGGCUCGCAGCGGUUCUGACGUGCAAAUCGAUCGUCAAAUAUGGGCAUGGGGGCGAAAGACUAAUCGAACCUUCUAGUAGCUGGUUUC
rnacentral:rRNA from 1 species